CGAACGAACCCUUCGGGGUUAGUGGCGCACGGGUGCGUAACGCGUGGGAACCUACCUUUAGGUUCGGAAUAACUCAGAGAAAUUUGAGCUAAUACCGAAUAAUGUCUUCGGACCAAAGAUUUAUCGCCUUUAGAUGGGCCCGCGUUAGAUUAGUUAGUUGGUGGGGUAAUGGCCUACCAAGACGACGAUCUAUAGCUGGUCUGAGAGGAUGAUCAGCCACACUGGGACUGAGACACGGCCCAG
rnacentral:rRNA from 1 species